GAUGAACGCUGACAGAAUGCUUAACACAUGCAAGUCGAUGGGGAAGUGGUGCUUGCACCAUGGUAACCAUGGCGGACGGGUGAGUAACACGUAAGGAACUUACCUGCGGGACCGGGAUAACAGUAGGAAACUGCUGACAAGACCGGAUAAGGUCAUUAAGCUGCAUAGCUUAGUGAUGAAAGGAGACGCCUGCGGAGAGCCUUGCGUCCUAUUAGCUAGUUGGAGGGGUAACGGCCCACCAAGGCGAAGAUAGGUAGCCGGCCUGAGAGGGUGGACGGCCACAAGGGGACUGAGAUACGGCCCUUACUCCUACGGGAGGCAGCAGUGGGGAAUAUUGGACAAUGGGGGCAACCCUGAUCCAGCAAUUCUGUGUGCACGAAGACGGUUUUCGGAUUGUAAAGUGCUUUCAGCAGGGAAGAAGGAAGUGACGGUACCUGCAGAAGAAGCGACGGCUAAAUACGUG
rnacentral:rRNA from 1 species